ensembl:misc_RNA Metazoa_SRP Metazoan signal recognition particle RNA
GCUAGGCAUGGUGGCGCGUGCCUGUAAUCCCAGCUACUCGGGAGGCUGAGGCAGGAGAAUCGCUUGAACCAGGGAUUCGGAGGUUGCAGUGAGCCGAGAUCGUACCAUUGCACUCCAGCCUGGGUGACAGAGUGAGACUCUGUCUCAA